rnacentral:rRNA from 1 species
UACUAACUCUGGCGGCGUGCCUAAUACAUGCAAGUUGAGCGCUGAAGGUUGGUACUUGUACCAACUGGAUGAGCAGCGAACGGGUGAGUAACGCGUGGGGAAUCUGCCUUUGAGCGGGGGACAACAUUUGGAAACGAAUGCUAAUACCGCAUAAAAACUUUAAACACAAGUUUUAAGUUUGAAAGAUGCAAUUGCAUCACUCAAAGAUGAUCCCGCGUUGUAUUAGCUAGUUGGUGAGGUAAAGGCUCACCAAGGCGAUGAUACAUAGCCGACCUGAGAGGGUGAUCGGCCACAUUGGGACUGAGACACGGCCCAAACUCCUACGGGAGGCAGCAGUAGGGAAUCUUCGGCAAUGGACGAAAGUCUGACCGAGCAACGCCGCGUGAGUGAAGAAGGUUUUCGGAUCGUAAAACUCUGUUGGUAGAGAAGAACGUUGGUGAGAGUGGAAAGCUCAUCAAGUGACGGUAACUACCCAGAAAGGGACGGCUAACUACGUG